rnacentral:rRNA from 1 species
AUACGGAGGGUGCGAGCGUUAAUCGGAAUCACUGGGCGUAAAGCGCACGUAGGCUGCUUGGUAAGUCAGGGGUGAAAGCCCGCGGCUCAACCGCGGGAUUGCCUUUGAUACUGCCGAGCUAGAGUCCGGGAGAGGGUAGUGGAAUUCCAGGUGUAGGAGUGAAAUCCGUAGAGAUCUGGAGGAACAUCAGUGGCGAAGGCGACUACCUGGACCGGUACUGACGCUGAGGUGCGAAAGCGUGGGGAGCAACCAGGAUUAGAUACCCUGGUAGUCCACGCCGUAAACGAUGGAUGCUAGGUGUCGGGGCCUUGAGCUUCGGUGCCGUAGUUAACGCGUUAAGCAUCCCGCCUGGGGAGUACGGUCGCAAGGCUGAAACUCAAAUGAAUUGACGGGG